rnacentral:rRNA from 1 species
AGAGUUUGAUCCUGGCUCAGAUUGAACGCUGGCGGCAGGCUUAACACAUGCAAGUCGAGCGGUAACAUUUCUAGCUUGCUAGAAGAUGACGAGCGGCGGACGGGUGAGUAAUGCUUGGGAAUAUGCCUUGAAGUGGGGGACAACAGUUGGAAACGACUGCUAAUACCGCAUAAUGUGCUUACUGUAGUGGUAAGUACCAAAGGGGGGGAUUCAUUUAUGAACCUCUCGCUUCUUGAUUAGCCCAAGUGAGAUUAGCUAGUUGGUGAGGUAAAGGCUCACCAAGGCGACGAUCUCUAGCUGGUUUGAGAGGAUGAUCAGCCACACUGGGACUGAGACACGGCCCAGACUCCUACGGGAGGCAGCAGUGGGGAAUAUUGCACAAUGGGCGAAAGCCUGAUGCAGCCAUGCCGCGUGUGUGAAGAAGGCCUUCGGGUUGUAAAGCACUUUCAGUUGUGAGGAAAGGGUGUAGUUUAAUAAACUAUAUCUGUGACGUUAACAACAGAAGAAGCACCGGCUAACUUCGUGCCAGCAGCCGCGGUAAUACGAGGGGUGCAAGCGUUAAUCGGAAUUACUGGGCGUAAAGCGUUCGUAGGCGGUUGAUUAAGCAAGAUGUGAAAGCCCAGGGCUCAACCUUGGAACUGCAUUUUGAACUGGUCAACUAGAGUACUGUAGAGGGUGGUGGAAUUUCCAGUGUAGCGGUGAAAUGCGUAGAGAUUGGAAGGAACAUCAGUGGCGAAGGCGGCCACCUGGAGAGAUACUGACGCUGAGGAACGAAAGCGUGGGGAGCGAACAGGAUUAGAUACCCUGGUAGUCCACGCCGUAAACGAUGUCAACUAGCCGUUUGUGUCCUUGAGACGUGAGUGGCGCAGCUAACGCACUAAGUUGACCGCCUGGGGAGUACGGCCGCAAGGUUAAAACUCAAAUGAAUUGACGGGGGCCCGCACAAGCGGUGGAGCAUGUGGUUUAAUUCGAUGCAACGCGAAG